ACUCGUUUGGGCGAGUAUAAAAAGAAGAUUAAGCCCAAAGCGUUCCGACACGCUCGGAGGUCUUG
rnacentral:ribozyme from 1 species